rnacentral:rRNA from 1 species
UACGGAGGAUGCAAGCGUUAUCCGGAAUGAUUGGGCGUAAAGCGUCCGCAGGUGGCGAUGUAAGUCUGCUGUUAAAGAGUGAGGCUCAACCUCAUAAGAGCAGUGGAAACUACAUAGCUAGAGUACGUUCGGGGCAGAGGGAAUUCCUGGUGUAGCGGUGAAAUGCGUAGAGAUCCGGAGGAAGACCGGUGGCGAAGGCGGUCUGCUGGGCAGUUUCUGACACUGAGGCGCGACAGCGUGGGGAGCAAACAGG